rnacentral:lncRNA from 1 species
AAGUGCAUUUCAUAAAUUAUAUGAAGAAGUUGAAUCUAUAAAAAGAGGCAGAAGGGCUGCCAUGGUUAACAUUGGUGCACAAGUAGGUCUAAUACAUACACCAAUAUCAAACAAAAACUUUAGUGAAAUCCUAAAUGCAGCCAAUAUUAUCUUCCCUUCUUCAUUAGGCUUUGCAGAAAUCUGCAAAUAAAGUUUCAAAAGUUGUGGAAAAAGUAAAUAAAGAUGACAUGGAAAAUAUAAGGAAAAAUUUGGCAAAUGACAACAAAACACUUGGUCUAUCCAAUGAAAAGUUGGUUCGAGUUGAAUCUGAUGCUAGGUAUAAUAACCCAAUUUUUAGUAAUGGCAGCACACCUUUUCAGGGGGGUACACAAGUUACCCAAGUUAUGUGUGAAAAUAUGACAAAAAAUAAAAAAAAUGAUCUCUCUUUAUACUGGUAAUAAAUUGUGUUUAAUUGCCUCAAAAUUGAGAGGUAAAAGGGAA